GACGGAGGAUGCAAGCGUUAUCCGGAAUGAUUGGGCGUAAAGAGUCCGCAGGUGGCAGUUCAAGUCUGCUGUCAAAGACCGGGGCUUAACUUCGGAAAGGCAGUGGAAACUGAACAGCUAGAGUAUGGUAGGGGCAGAGGGAAUUCCUGGUGUAGCGGUGAAAUGCGUAGAGAUCAGGAAGAACAUCGGUGGCGAAGGCGCUCUGCUGGACCAUAACUGACACUCAGGGACGAAAGCUAGGGGAGCAAACAGG
rnacentral:rRNA from 1 species